AUUAACAAGCUUUAGCAGCAAAACACAGCAUUACCUAUUUAUUCACUUCCGUGCUUGGGAUUCACUAGUGGUUCAUCUUACAUUCCUAGCUCCUCGCCAUUAAGAAUACUUAAUCCAUCACUAAACUCAUCUUCUUCAUCUACAUAUUAUUCCAAAUUGCAUUCAUUUGAACUCAUAUGAUUCUUGUUAUCUUCUUGUAAGUUAGGUCCAAAUUUUUGUGGCUGUGAAAAACUUUGUGCUUGCAAAAUCCUUGAAUGCACUUGUGAACUAGCCAUGUUAACAGGUUGUAUUUUUCGUCAUAGCACUAGUAGAAAAAACUAAAUAGGCACCCCCCUACGACAGCGGUUCAUGAAAACCGGUGCCAACUAAAAUGAGCGCCAAUUAAAAUUUCAGAGUUGGCACCAGUUAACCGUUGCCAAUUGUUUAAUUUUUUUAAAAAAAAAAAUUAAAAUAAAUAGGUUAGAGUUGGCAACGGUUUGAUUAUUUUUUUAAAAAAAAAAUAAAAAAUAAAAGGGUUAGAGUUGGCACCGGUUAACCGUUGCCAACUGAUUAUUUAAAAAAAAAAUAUUAAAAAAAAUCCUUCUUAAUUGCGUCCUCUCUCUUCUCUGCUCAAACCCUCCUUUCUCUAUCUUCAAUCUCUUGCCUCCUCUUGCUCUCUGUCAUUUUUUACUCCACCACCGCCCCACUAUCUCUUUCAUUCUUCUCUCUAUCUCUUUCAUUCCCAGAUCUUUCUUUCUUUCACUAUCUUUCUUCGUAGUAGGGGGGAAUUGAGGGUGACAGCGGUGGUGAAUGUUGUCACGACCAUCGUAAUUGGCGGCGGUGGUGCCUUCCCUUUGCAGCUCUGGUGGAUUUCUUCACGAAGGGAUUGAGUAUGAGGUCAUGGGCUCCAGCUAUACAUAUAAAACUACUGAUAGGUGGUGUUUGUGCCUAACAGGACACUAGUAUUGUUCUGUGCAAUGUAUGUGUGUGGGUUGGCAAUAGGCAGGGGUGUGGUAGUGUAUUUGCUUGGUGCUUGUUUGGGUUGUAAGUAAAAUGUAGUUAGUAAAAGCCAGGUCUAAGUGCAUAUGCAAGCAACCCUCAGGUGGAUGCUGCUAAUUCACUAGUUUCUCUCCUAGAGCAAGCAGAAGCUGUUGUCCUGUAUCAAGACUCAUGGUCAUGGUAUUUCUGAUUUUGUGGGUGAAACGGUCAAGGAAAAAGGUGGAACAAGUGUAAGAUUCAAAUUUCUGCUCCCGGGUUUAAUUGAAUCAUUUAAGCAAAUACCGGUUAGUCUUGAAGAGAAACUAGAAGCUCAAACUGCUACUAUUAUUGAUGCAAUUGAAAAUAAGCUAGGGAAUCAAGCUGUUGUGCUAGAAGAGAAACAACAAGGUGAGAAAGAAAGAACAAAAAAGGGGGAGAACAAGUGUCUGCCUAUUGCUCCUGAAAUUGAUCAUGGAGACAAUCAUGAAGGUUCUAAAAAAAGAAAACGGAGAAAAUCAAACAAGCUGCCGCCAAUCACUAAUGAAGUUGAAUGCGAAAACAAUGAAAGGUAUUCAAGAAUGUUCGUGAAAUUGUUAUACUUGCUGUCAAUCGGGCACAAAAGAAGAUCAGACUUUCUGAAUACGCAAAAUUUAAUAGAAUACUGAUUCCCAGAGGCAAUUUAGUUCCCUUUGAUGGUAAAAUUCAGGCUACAUUUAGGAUGCUCUAUUGCCAUUGAUGGACGCUGCAUUUCUCUUUUGCGCUGCUGCUGUUUAGCUACUGUGAUGCUGUUGUUCUGCUACUGGGCUGCUGCUGUUCUACUAGUGAUUGUAGGAAGUUGUUGCUGCUCUUGAUUGUUAAUAUAAUUCAGUUGUAUUUUAUUCCUUUUUUUUUUUGCAAGUGUAAAAUUAUAGGUUAUUAAUGAAAAUUAUGAGUUUUAAGUAUAUUAUGUAUAUAUA